AGAGUUUGAUCCUGGCUCAGGAUGAACGCUGGCGGCGUGCCUAAUACAUGCAAGUCGAGCGAACGGACGAGAAGCUUGCUUCUCUGAUGUUAGCGGCGGACGGGUGAGUAACACGUGGAUAACCUACCUAUAAGACUGGGAUAACUUCGGGAAACCGGAGCUAAUACCGGAUAAUAUUUUGAACCGCAUGGUUCAAAAGUGAAAGACGGUCUUGCUGUCACUUAUAGAUGGAUCCGCGCUGCAUUAGCUAGUUGGUAAGGUAACGGCUUACCAAGGCAACGAUGCAUAGCCGACCUGAGAGGGUGAUCGGCCACACUGGAACUGAGACACGGUCCAGACUCCUACGGGAGGCAGCAGUAGGGAAUCUUCCGCAAUGGGCGAAAGCCUGACGGAGCAACGCCGCGUGAGUGAUGAAGGUCUUCGGAUCGUAAAACUCUGUUAUUAGGGAAGAACAUAUGUGUAAGUAACUGUGCACAUCUUGACGGUACCUAAUCAGAAAGCCACGGCUAACUACGUGCCAGCAGCCGCGGUAAUACGUAGGUGGCAAGCGUUAUCCGGAAUUAUUGGGCGUAAAGCGCGCGUAGGCGGUUUUUUAAGUCUGAUGUGAAAGCCCACGGCUCAACCGUGGAGGGUCAUUGGAAACUGGAAAACUUGAGUGCAGAAGAGGAAAGUGGAAUUCCAUGUGUAGCGGUGAAAUGCGCAGAGAUAUGGAGGAACACCAGUGGCGAAGGCGACUUUCUGGUCUGUAACUGACGCUGAUGUGCGAAAGCGUGGGGAUCAAACAGGAUUAGAUACCCUGGUAGUCCACGCCGUAAACGAUGAGUGCUAAGUGUUAGGGGGUUUCCGCCCCUUAGUGCUGCAGCUAACGCAUUAAGCACUCCGCCUGGGGAGUACGACCGCAAGGUUGAAACUCAAAGGAAUUGACGGGGACCCGCACAAGCGGUGGAGCAUGUGGUUUAAUUCGAAGCAACGCGAAGAACCUUACCAAAUCUUGACAUCCUUUGACAACUCUAGAGAUAGAGCCUUCCCCUUCGGGGGACAAAGUGACAGGUGGUGCAUGGUUGUCGUCAGCUCGUGUCGUGAGAUGUUGGGUUAAGUCCCGCAACGAGCGCAACCCUUAAGCUUAGUUGCCAUCAUUAAGUUGGGCACUCUAAGUUGACUGCCGGUGACAAACCGGAGGAAGGUGGGGAUGACGUCAAAUCAUCAUGCCCCUUAUGAUUUGGGCUACACACGUGCUACAAUGGACAAUACAAAGGGCAGCAAAACCGCGAGGUCAAGCAAAUCCCAUAAAGUUGUUCUCAGUUCGGAUUGUAGUCUGCAACUCGACUACAUGAAGCUGGAAUCGCUAGUAAUCGUAGAUCAGCAUGCUACGGUGAAUACGUUCCCGGGUCUUGUACACACCGCCCGUCACACCACGAGAGUUUGUAACACCCGAAGCCGGUGGAGUAACCUUUUAGGAGCUAGCCGUCGAAGGUGGGACAAAUGAUUGGGGUGAAGUCGUAACAAGGUAGCCGUAUCGGAAGGUGCGGCUGGAUCACCU
rnacentral:rRNA from 2 species